GAAAUGCGAUAAGUAAUGUGAAUUGCAGAAUUCAGUGAAUCAUCGAAUCUUUGAACGCACCUCGCGCUCCUUGGUAUUCCUUGGAGCAUACCUGUUUGAGUAUCAUGAAAUCUUCAAAGUAAAUCUUUUGUUAACUCAAUUGGUUUCUACUUUGGUAUUGGAGGUCUUUGCAGCUUCACACCUGCUCCUCUUUGUUCAUUAGCUGGAUCUCAGUGUUAUGCUUGGUUCCACUCGGCGUGAUAAGUUAUCUAUCGCUGAGGACACUGUAAAAGGUGGCCAAGGUAAAUGCAGAUGAACCGCUUCUAAUAGUCCAUUGACUUGGACAAUACUUUUAUGAUCUGAUCUCAAAUCAGGUAGGACUACCCGCUGAACUUAAGC
rnacentral:misc_RNA from 1 species